ensembl:lncRNA novel transcript
CUGGCGCUGUGGAGGUUCCAAUGGCCGCCAUGUUGUCUCAGAGGGACACACCACAGGCUUCUGGAACUCUGGCUCCAUUUUGUGGGUGCAAGUUUCUGGCUUCCGUUUUAAAGAGCAAGAGAACCUAUCAGCGUUGUCAAUUCUAAGAAAGUGAGUGCCAAGAGCAGGCUGUACAAGAAGCAUGGCACAAGAAUCUGCUUCUGAAGAGGGCUUCAGGAAGCUUCCACUCAUGGUGGAAAAGGAAGGAGAGCAGGUAUCACAGCGCAAGAAAGAAGAAAUUGUUCCACUCCAUAAGUUCCCUCCUGGAGGAUGUGUGAGACACCAGGCUGCAUGUUAGAAACGGCUGUGCUCCGGAAGGCUACCAGGGUCAUCGUGAGGGCCUUGCAGAUUUCAGAAAUGAAGUGACCUGCCUUGAGUCUUCCCUCAGCCUCCUCACUCCACUGUAGUCUCAGGAGAGUGAGGACAACAAAACUCUCUUCUCCCCACAUUACCACUUCAGCGCUGACCUGUGGCUUGAGAAUCUAAUCUGUGUGCACCGUGGCAAAGUCUUGGUUUUACAGGUCUCACCUGACAGCUAGUCCUGAUUUUUCCAUGAUGUGUGGGUAAAAAGUGGGUUCUUGAAGGGAAACCUCAAUGUAGCUUAGCUCUUGAGAAAACAGUAUGUGCAUAUGCUUC